rnacentral:misc_RNA from 1 species
GUGUUUGCAGGUGUUUGGCUCCC